rnacentral:tRNA from 1 species
AAAAAAUUAGUUAAAUCAUAACAUUAGUUUGUCAAACUAA